AUUCUUUCUCUCUUUCUUUCCAUGUUUGUUUCUUGUUUCAAUGUACAGUCUAUUUGUUAAUUUUUACAUUUCUGUUUUUCCCUCUAAAUUUCUGGAACAGUGCGGUCAGAUUCUUUCUUUCU